ensembl:lncRNA
AUAAGAUGACUUUUCACUGGACCCAGAUGUUAACUGAUGGACUGGAGUCGUGUUUAUUACUUAUGGAUUAUUGUGAUGCUUUUAUCAGCUCAUUCUGAUGGCACCCAUUCACUGCAGAGGAUCCAUUGGUGAGCAAGUGAUGCUAAAUUUCUCCAUAUAUGUUCAGAUGAAGAAAUAAACUCAUCGACAUAUUGGUUGGCCUGAGGGUGAGAAAUAUAUUUAAUAUACAAUUAAUCUUUCUUCUUGUUAUUUCUUUACAAGUGUAUGUGUGCACAUGCAUGUUGGUUGGCACCCUGAAAUGUCCUUGGCAUUUACUCUCUCUCUCCUGGUGUCUCUGAAUCAGCAGGGAUGAGACCGUGGGUCUCUCACGUGACUGUGCCGCAGGACAGAGCUGGAGAUGGAAGCCAGGCUCUCUGGACAGUGGCUGAAAUCUGAUGACAGCCGCUGAGAGCAGGUGCUGCCAAACGCCGGCCCGCCGCCGAGACGAGGUCAAACAGGACUCGUUACACGCUGCUUGUAUCCCGCCUAACGUUCCUCAGAUCUGACGAGACAAGGAUCCAGGCACAGCUCAUUAGACUGCAGGAGAGAGAGAGAACAAGAAGUACAUGCUUCCACUUGCUGCUGUCCUGAAUGAAGGUCAAACUUGUUACCCAAGUUCUUCCAUGAUCAGAGUCUGGGCCGCUGGAGGAUGAAGUUAUGAGCCGAUAUAUCUGGAAGCAGUGGUGCAGACCUCGGAAUGGACCCAUGGAACAGCUAAAGCCCAGUUCCCCCUCCUGCCGCAGGAGUCUUUGUGGAGCCCGUCAGUCAGGUCAUCAGAGAGACAUUCAGCACAGACACGGAGCAGAAGAUUUAUAGCUGUGAGGUGAGAGCAGAUCAUGGGCUGCUUGAGGAAAGAGGAACAAGAAAACCAGAAAGCACCUACUGAGAAGUACUCAAAGAGAUUUAAUAAACAGAAGUAAAACACUGAACUGAAAUACUGU